GCUUGCCCCUGGGCCUCUUGGAGUCCCUGAGGCUCUGGGGACAGGGCAAGGGGACUGGCACCGGCUAUCCUCCCCAGAGGGGCUGGGCCUGGCCUGAAGCCUGGGGUGCUGGCAUUGUGAAACUGCCUCCCCUCUCAGACUUCUCUGGAAACCCAGCCCUCCCCAUGCGGAUGAGUCCCCAGAGGUCUCCUCAUCCUGCAGUCUGGGCUUAUCGGAGCCGUCACAGACGAGGAGCUGCCGUGUUUGCUAUGGGAGGGACGAGGUCGGCCCUGCUUCCUGGAGACCUCCUGGCCCUGGAAUUCUCUUUUCCUGGGAUGCCGCACAGACCCAGGCCAAAGUGGCCGGGGUUGUGAAAUCCUGUGUUUGGCUCUGGCGGGUUACCGAGGGCUGGCCUGGUGAGCACGGCAGCGGACGAACAGGGUCCAGGACAGGAGGCCGUGCUCGCAGGACGCCCACGCCAGGGCUCAGGACGUGUGCCCUGUGCUCUGCAGAGAAGGCCACCUGAAGCCCAGGCUGUCCUGGGGUCACACAGCUGGGUGGAGGGUGGAGGCCAGGGGUCCCAACACCUGCCCCCCUGCUCCCCGAUGGAAGGUCAUUACUGUGAGUUGUCCAGGGUCUUGGCAUGUUGAACAAAACGCACAAAGCAACAAGAGAAGCAACAAGAGACCAAGCAACAGAAGAACGGAGCAACCAAAACACAUUUCCUGAAGAAGCAAAAGUGCAAUUCACAGAGUGGGAGCGGCUCUAGCAAGCGGCUUGAGGGCCCCUCAAUUCACGUGUUUAUUAAGCUAAAGAACUUGGCAACACCCCUGGGUGCCCUCGAGAGGCCCCCAGUUGGCUACGCCCUAUGAAGGACUGGCCCGCAGUCCAUCAGAGGUGAAGUGGACACUUGGCCCGCGGUCCAUCAGAGGUGAAGUGGACACUUGGCCCGCGGUCCAUCAGAGGUGAAGUGGACACUUGGCCCGCGGUCCAUCAGAGGCUGCGGUAGAAAUUUCUGUGUUGUUAUCGCAGAAGCGAGGAUGUGGCCUGGGUGCCGCCCAGUCCUGCCUAGAACCAGCUGCCCCUGCAGUUCUCUGGCUUACUCUAACUGGCCGCACCUGCUAUUCCUUUGCUCAUGCCCCAGCCCUUGGCUACCCCAAUUCCCCAUUCUCCUGCCUUACUCCUCCUUCUCCCUUCUUCCUUAAUUCCUGGUGUGGGAGCUGAACGUGAAGACCUCAGUUUGAGGAGUGGACCUGCUGGUACAGACCUCUUCACCCUUCCCACGUACUGCAACCUACUUGCAGAAGUGAUAAUCCUAUCACAGCCCAGACUCACCUGUGCUGAAGAGGAAGGAGGCACGCAGAGUCAGUUUAGAAUUCCGCCUGCCUGCACUUCCAUCUGGGGGGAGGCAUAUUAUUCUUUUCGCUGUGUUUUUCCAUCAACCCUGGAGGACCUGACAAGCCCUGGAAAAUGUGCUAAAUGUUUCCUACGAUGCUGUUGAUCUUCAUAGUAGCUCAGCAAGGUACAUCUCAUUGCCCCAUUUUAUAGCUGAGAAAACUGAGGCUCGCAGAGGGGCAAGGCAUACGAACGGGAGCCCACUGCCCGGUGCUCUGGGUCAGGGCGAGUCAGAGAGAGGCAGAGCCUGGACUCAAGCCUGCUUCCUGCCCCUGAGCUUGCAUAGACCCCACCCUGCUGCCGGUGCACAGGUCUCGCCAGCUGCCCGGCCUAAGACCCACAGCCUGCUCCCCAGGCCGGGCGCUGGACACAGGGCGUGUGAGUUGACUGCGGCCAAGCUCCCUGGAAACACAGUCUGGAUCACUGAUGGCGCCAACUGGAGUCCAAGGGCACCUUUAUGCCCAAACAGUGUCACCCGGACACACUUCUCCACUCACGUGGGAGACCCUUGUGGCCUGCUUGAACCCCUCUGCAGACGGGGAGCUCACUUCUGCCUGAGGUGGCCUCUCCCAUCUCCGGAGAACCCUGCUCAGGAGAGAGUUUGGCCUCACGCUGGGCCGUAAACCACCUCCUCUCAACUCCUGGGCUCCGUGGCGAAGGUAAGGCUGAUGUAGACUUGCUGGGCACCCUUGGAAUGGUGGCCUGUAUGCUGCCCAAUCCUGCCUAGAACUGGGUGGCCCUGCUGUUCCCUUGUGUGGAGAUGGUGCUCUCUCCAUUCAAGGGAACAGCAGCAGGUCAGCCAGUUCCCUUGGGAUGCUGAUCAUUCCAUACCCUUAGGAUGGUGACCCUCCCUCUCUGAGCCUCGGCUCCCUCAUCCAAAAUGAGGGUCCAACUUGGACUCGGCCG
rnacentral:lncRNA from 10 species